UCCACCGAACCCGUCACACCGCUGCUGUUGCGAUGUCAUUACUGUCGCAAGGGAGAAGAGAUGCGUGAGGAAAGAAGCUCGCAGGGAAGAAAGAAGAGGCUGCCUGUGCCACCCGCUCUGUCGCGUCUGAUCUCUGUUAUCACCGCGUCGCUGCCACCGAAGGUCUGCCGCCAUUGUUUCCAUCGCCUCCAUGCUUCAUAUUCAUCCUGCCAAUCAUUACUGUCUUUCUUCGGUAUUGCUGUCCUUAUCCGGAACCACCGAUGUCAUUGUUGUUGCUUCCCCAGAAGAACUGAGGUUACUGCUACUGUUCCGGCCGUACUAGCUAUUGUAAAUUGGAAAAAGAAGGGGAUCGCCACAUUUAAAUUCGACGGUUUCGACUAACUGAGUGACACAGGUUUGAAGAUGCAUUUUGAAGCUGCGAGCGAUUAGUAGAUUUUCUUUAUGGUUUUAAUUACUUCCAUAGAGUCCCCUCGCUGUUGUCCCUCGAGAUUUUAUUUUACAUAGAGGGGUAGGUUUAGUAUAUCGUAUUUGAAAUUCAUUUGAUUCCUUUUGUAUAAGAAUUAUUAUUAAUAAUAUUUAUGUGAUUAUUUUUAUUUGUGAA